UACGUAGGGGGCUAGCGUUGUCCGGAAUCAUUGGGCGUAAAGCGCGUGUAGGCGGUCCGGUAAGUCCGCUGUGAAAGUCGGGGGCUCAACCCUCGAAUGCCGGUGGAUACUGUCGGGCUAGAGUACGGAAGAGGCGAGUGGAAUUCCUGGUGUAGCGGUGAAAUGCGCAGAUAUCAAGGAGGAACACCGAUGGCGAAGGCAGGUCUCUGGGCCGAUACUGACGCUGGAGGAGCGAAAGCGUGGGGAGCGAACAGG
rnacentral:rRNA from 1 species